rnacentral:misc_RNA from 1 species
AAGUCGUAACAAGGUAUCCGUAGGUGAACCUGCGGAUGGAUCAUUACCAAUUUUAUAUACUAGUGUGUAUGCCGCUGUCAAAGGUGGUACUACACUACUACUAUUAUGUAAACGUUGAACUAGAUCAAUUGGUGUGGAUUGCUUGGGAAUGGACGAAGCGACAAGCCUCUUCCGGACAGGCAAACCCCACACUGAUAACCUUUUCAAUAUAAUUUACUAGUACAUACUACAAACAAACAAACAAACAAAAGCUAUAAUAGGACUUAUAAACAGGCUGAGUGGGUAAAAUCCUCGGCUUAACAAUAUAACUAUUACAACUUUCAGCAAUGGAUCUCUAGGCUCUC